CUCCCUGGCGGAGAAUCGAACCCCGGUCGCCUGGCAGGCGGGAAUACUAACCACUAUACUACCGAGGA